CUACGACAGUGCGGUGGUUGAGGCUUACGUUCGUGUGGUCUGGGCAGUGGCGUCACCGAAGAUACAACCGUGUUGUGUUACGGCUUGGCCCGCGGUUGGGGUGUUGCACGACUUGGGGUGUAAGAAGCCGAGGGGAUGGAGGCUUAGGAGGGCAACAAC